rnacentral:rRNA from 1 species
ACCGGCGCACGGGUGAGUAACACGUAUGCAACCUGCCUGUAAGCGGGGGAUAACCCGGAGAAAUCCGGACUAAUACCGCAUAAGACUUUAGUUCUGCAUGGGACAGAAGUUAAACAUUUAUGGCUUACAGAUGGGCAUGCGUAUGAUUAGCUAGUUGGAGAGGUAAUGGCUCCCCAAGGCAACGAUCAUUAGGGGUUCUGAGAGGAAGGUCCCCCACACUGGUACUGAGACACGGACCAGACUCCUACGGGAGGCAGCAGUGAGGAAUAUUGGUCAAUGGGCGAGAGCCUGAACCAGCCAAGUCGCGUGAAGGAAGAAUGUCCUAUGGAUUGUAAACUUCUUUUUUAGGGGAAUAAAGUGCACCACGUGUGGUGUUUUGUAUGUACCCUACGAAUAAGGAUCGGCUAACUCCGUGCCAGCAGCCGCGGUAAUACGGAGGAUCCAAGCGUUAUCCGGAUUUAUUGGGUUUAAAGGGUGCGCAGGCGGGAUAAUAAGUCAGUGGUGAAAGUUUGCAGCUUAACUGUAAAAUUGCCGUUGAAACUGUUAUUCUUGAGUGCAGACAAGGUAGGCGGAAUGUAUUGUGUAGCGGUGAAAUGCUUAGAUAUAAUACAGAACCCCGAUUGCGAAGGCAGCUUACCGGACUGUAACUGACGCUCAGGCACGAAAGCGUGGGGAUCAAACAGGAUUAGAUACCCUGGUAGUCCACGC